rnacentral:lncRNA from 1 species
GUUUGAGUUAAUUAUAUAAGAAAAAUAUUGUAAUAGUAAAACUGAAUUGGGACCAAAGUUGACUUCGAGUCUAAAAUGGAAAAUAAUAAUAAUAAUAGCUUCAAUUUAUAUUCAUAGUUGGAAUUAUAUGAUUACUGCACCCGAAAAUAGACGCCCUUCUCGCGGGUGUCGCUCAGUUACUAGCAAUUAUCAUAUUACUGCGAGUAUAUCCAGAAUCAUAUGGUCCCGUCAUCGUAAUGUCUAGCAAUUCAUCUUAUAUCUUCCAUUUCACUCUCAUGGACAAGUGGAUCUGCGGGAAAGAAGAAACUUCUCUCUCCAAGGUUUUUUUAUUUUGAGAAUUCUCUCUCGACUUUAUUUAUUCCUUGAGUUUAAGAUUUUUAUCUAUCACACUAUCAACUCUGUGCCUCUAAGCAAACAAUACCUCUCCUUCAAGUUGGUUGUGGGUUUCAUCGUCGGAUGGGAUAUAGUUAGUCUUGUUGUCUAGUUUGUUCUGAUGCAGCGGUUGUUUUAGGCGAGGGUUUUCUACUAGCUACUUGUCUUUGAUUUUUUGAUUGUAUGUUUGUUGUUUUUUUACAAGUCUGAAAACUCCUCAGGUCUGAGCUUUCUGAGAUUGAAAUCGCAGUAAUAAGAUGGUGAUAAUGGCUCCUGAAGCAGAGGCUCAAAAGACACAAACAGGUCGCCAAGGGCAUACCUCCCUCUUUUCCUGGUAUAUUUUGUUAUGGGGCAGUUCUUCUUUAAUCCAAGCGAUGGUGAACUUGACAUGGCUAAGGAAGUUUCUGUCUUCUCUUUUCCCGCCCAUUUAUUUUGUUGCAUGUGCUGGGUCAACCACUAGCUCCGUUCUCGUGCUUUCUAGAUGGCUUUUGCUUGGCUCCGUCUCUUUUCUCCCUUAGUAUCCAAUGUGUUUGUAUGCCUUUUUGGGGUUGUUGUAGCAAAAAGUAAUAUUCCCAUUUAUUGUCCGCUAACAUUCACAAUUGAUUUCUCCAAAAAGAAGGACAAACACUGCUGGACUUGUACUUUGAAGUCGGGUCAAACCGAAAUGGGUCUCUAGCGUGUUUUUUGGGCUGUUUUAUGUGUUGGGCCUAUGAGUAAGUUGACUUUUGUCCUAUAUUUUAUUGUUUAAGUUCCAAAUGUCUGGUUUAUUUACUUUUGUUGUGCAGGGUUGGGCUUGUUUAUCUUCCAUGAAUUCAAAUUACCGUCCCCAAAAAGAAUAUCCGUGGAAAAGAUAAUUUGUGCCACACAUUUACAAUGUAAAAAAAUACGAAAUAUAUAUAAAUUUGAACUCUUCAAUUUGUGCCACACAUUUAAAAUGUAAAAUUUAGUUUAUGAUUCUCCUAAAUUUGUUUCAGCAUGAUUAAUCCGAUCAGGCAACGCGAACGCUGUCUUAUGGAAUUUUCAUUAAAAAAAAGCCUGGGAUUUUCGUGUUUGCGUAAAGCAACUCUGUUUUUUAAUUUGUUUUCAAAAUUUUAAAGAUCAUUUCUGUACUUUAUAAAUAUUAAAAGAUGCCAUAAUUUAACUUUUUUUUUUGUCAAAUGUCAUAAUUUACUUUAAUUAAUCGCACUAACACAAAAAUUUAAUUAAAGCUGUGAUUACUAUAAGUUUCA